GGGCGCUCCUGCAAGUGCGGGCUCGCCCAGUCCUCACGGCGCUUCUGAGGCAGCGGGACUGUCCCCACCACGCAGGGGGAAGCUGAGGCCCAGGCAGACCCGGUGAUGCUUUUUGGGUCUCACAAGUGAUGAUAAAAAGUAACUACCCGCAAGUUACGGCUACUUAUUUAUCUGCUGCCAGCUACUCUGAUGCGUCCUGCUACCAGAGCUUAGAAAAAAGCCUUUCCCAGCUUCGUCUGCAGAAAGCUUGCCAUCGAGCACUCCAGGCUACACUGAAGGGCUCUUGGACAACGAAGCAAGCGCGCCUCUAAUCCCGCUGCUCAGUGCGACCUGCGUGCACUGGCUCUGGAGCCAGCAGGACCACUCGUGUGCAGGACCACGUCCAGGGAUGCUCAGACUCCUUGAAGGAGAAGCCUCUGGAAAAUGGGGAUGCAAUCUGCCUUACAAGGAGGGUAGAGACACCACAAAGCAUCCUGCACACCAGGCCUGGUGCACGCUAAGUGCUCUCUCUUCCUUUUGAAAAAAUGAGCCAUAACGUCAGAGAUAACGGAAUUUCAAAACAGUGUUAAUGCAAACAAAUAUCGAGCUGGUGUUGCUCCAGCCGGCGUGGCCACCCGGGAGACAUUUUGGAGGAGGUAAGCAUCUCUCGUGACUUUAAAAUCACUUCGGCCAAGCACCGUCAGCCCAGCUCCGCCAGAAGUCCGUCACCGCGCACCCCCGAUCUGGGGACUGCCCCUGCGCCCGCUGGCACUCUAGAGUCCACUGACCCGAAGGCUCUUUCUUCCUUCUCCUUGAAGAAGGUGUUUAAUCACCAUGUUAAAAGGCCAAAAAUAUCAGCAGUGGUGGAAGUAGGUUGAGGUGUUUAAACUGCAACAGGUUCAUUUUCAGCGCUUAAAAUACCAUUUCAGCAACAUUACCAAAGCACAAGUUAUGAACUAGAGUUGCUUUUAUUAUUCAGUAUGACUUGGUAAAAUUACGCCUUACCUGAUUUUUACAUUGUCAGCUUGAUUACUGACUAUACUUGAAGAAAAUUAACGUGAACAAUCUCAAUUAAAACACAUGAAAAUAAUUUUUAAAGAUAAUCCUUAAAUCAGACUGGAUAUCAUAAGUUUUUCAGAAUUAAUAAUGUUUCAUUAAUUUCUUAAACAAAGAGACAAAAAAAGUACAAAACGUGAGUGGCAAAAAAAGGUAUAUUUAAGUGAAAUAAAACUUAACAUUUUGGCAAAAAACAAAUACCAUAAACCAAGUUAAAAGUCAACCCACCACCUGAGAGAUUUCCCAACACAGAUAAUCAACAGAGAAAGUCAAUAAGAAAAGGCAAACAAAUCAAUAAAGAAAAUAAGCAAAUAGUUUGAACACGCGGUUCUUGGAAGAGCGAAGCCACUGCCCAAUAAACACGAACAGACUUGUAACCACACCAACAAUCGGGGAAAAUGCAAAUUAAACAACAAAGAAGGCACCACAUCACAGCCUGCGAUGGGCAAACAGGCUCAAGCGUGCCAUUACCAGGGGCCGGGAUGGAACUGACACAGCAGGAGCCGCCCACCUUGCGGGCAGGAGGCUCUAGGAAACUCCACGACCACUUUGGAAAGUGGCUCAGCAUCACCCGGCAGAGGGGGAACGGCCCCAGGAAUGCACAGGUGGCUUCCUCACCCCAGAGCAGCUGCACCUGCCAGCCUGUGAGACAUGCGCGCCCUCCGCCAGAGCCAGGCCGCCUUACGGGGUGCGUGUUAGGAAGGCUGCUGGCUGAUUUGGGUGCCUGCUCAAGUCUCAGACCAGCACCCCAGAGGUGCUCUCACACUGGUUCUCACCUGUUUCAACAGGACGCUGUGCCAGAACACUAGGGGUGUGGUCCUUGGUAGGUUUGGCUAGGAAGGCGGUCAGACAGACCUUGGUUCGCUAGGACAGAGUGUCACUGAGUCACGGGACAGGGCACAGGUAAUCAGCUCUCAAAUGUACACCUUCCCACAAAGAGAUGCAUACAAGGACGCGCGUAUGAAAAUAAAGCAUCUAAAGCAGUCAAAACAGCUGCCGGCAGAAGAACGGGUACAAUGGUACCUUACACAGCAGAUAAAAUAAAUAAAGUAGGUACACGUGGAUGAGCAGGGAUAAAUCUUGAAAAUAUAAUGCUGAACGAGAAAAAGCAAGUUGCAGAAUGACAACAUGAUACCAUUCAACAUUAAGUUAAAUUCUCACCAAAAAAAUCAAUGUCACCCUUGGAUAAAUAAAUAAGUGUUUGCAUGAAAACAUCAAGGAUGCAGACCUGAGAAGUACAUCUCCUGACCUCGAGAUAAGGUUGUCUGUGGGCAAGAAAUGAGAGGCACGCGAUGGAGGAGCACAAAGAGAACAGCACCGGGAAGAUUCUGUUUUUUUAAAAAGCUGUCAAACACAUGGUAAAAAGUUGAUAUUUGUUAAGUCUGGGUUGGGGUAAAAGAUACUGCUAUGUUAUACCGUGGACUCGUGCAUAUUUGGAGUAUUCCAUAAAAAUAAGGUCAAAAGGGGCUGGCCCCGUGGCCGAGCGGUUAAGUUCGCGCGCUCCGCUGCAGGCGGCCCAGUGUUUCGUUGGUUCGAAUCCUGGGCGCGGACAUGGCACUGCUCAUCAGACCACGCUGAGGCAGCGUCCCACAUGCCACAACUAGAAGAACCCACAACGAAGAAUACACAACUAUGUACCGGGGGGCUUUGGGGAUAAAAAGGAAAAAAUAAAAUCUUUAAAAAAAAAAAAAUAAGGUCAAAAUUUAAAAGUAGCGUUUCAUUAUACUUUUGAAUAUUAGAAACUCCUACUUCUGUACAAAAAGAAAUCUUCCAAAGCCACAGCCUCAAGAGGUAGGGCUUUUAAAACCAAAUCUUUGUGACAUCUAGCGGUAGCAGAAAUAGUUACAAUUUAAUACACAAUUAGAAACAAACUUGAUUCAAGGCAUUAUUAACAUCUGAAUUCUUGUUUUAAU
ensembl:lncRNA